UACAGAGGGUGCAAGCGUUGUUCGGAAUUACUGGGCGUAAAGGGCGUGUAGGCGGCCAACUAAGUCGGACGUGAAAUCCCCGGGCUCAACCCGGGAACUGCGUCCGAUACUGGAUGGCUUGAAUCCGGGAGAGGGAUGUGGAAUUCCAGGUGUAGCGGUGAAAUGCGUAGAUAUCUGGAGGAACACCGGUGGCGAAGGCGGCAUCCUGGACCAACACUGACACUGAGAAGCGAAAGCCAGGGGAGCAAACGGG
rnacentral:rRNA from 1 species